rnacentral:lncRNA from 1 species
CCAAGGGCCACUAUUCAUUGCUCUCUCACCCGAGAGGUCUCUUGAAGAAGGAUGCAGAGUUGGACCUCGAAAUCAGUCAUUCAACACACGUCUAAAUAUUUUCUAGCAAGAGAAAUCAUAGUCACUGGUUUGAACGGACUAAUCAAGACCUAUGAACUGCUGUCUGCACUAAUAUCCACUUUCCCAGAGAUCAAAGCCACGUGGCUGGGGAGACAGACUUUCAGCUGCUUUUCUUGCAUCCUUUUCUGAUCAGAGUGAUUUAUCACUUGAAUGCCAUCAUCGGGUCACAGGCUUUUUACUUCAGAUAUUUGGUAUCAGACUGUUGAGUAUCAGAUGAUUUAGCAUUUGAGUUUAUGCUUAAUCUGUCUUAUAAACAACCCUGUGAUUUAAAAGAAAAUGAAAGCCUCUUCUAUGAGGAAAGCCUUGUCUAUGGGACUCUAAGAAAUGGGAGGAGGCAAUAUUUAGGAAAUCCAGUAGGCCUCAUUUAAUCUCUCCUUCCUUUAACCCAGGGAUAGAACAGCAUGUUGUGAUGAGGACAUUCUAUCCCUGAGCCAGGAUGAAAUGGUGCAGGAUGAGGGCAUUGUUCCUCACUGUGCAGGAAGGAAGAACAGGGAUCAUUUGCCUCCAUUUUUCAGAGAUUCCUGGCUCCUCUUGACCCUGAACUCCCCAUUGUAUUUUUGGGAAGAAUACCCACAGUACUUCCACAGACAGAAAAACCUCGAGGGCAAAGCCCAAACGUUAUGGUUGCUAUGAUCUCUCUACUAACCUCAAAGAAUAAACUACAACAUUCUAAGCAUAUGGAUCUCUAUGUGGCCCCUGCCAGGAAAAUUGUCUGUUCUGAAUCUGGUACCAGCCCUUCAAAUCCAGAAAAGCUAGGUCCUAAGGUGGUGCUGAGCAUGUAGAAGAAGGGUUGCAAACCAGCUUUCCUAGUUGCAAUGACCACAGAUCCUAGGGACCUCUUCAGUGUUAAGUUUCUCCCCAGACCCCACUGCUGCCCUGGGGGUUUGCCGGAUAUCGCUUCUUGCAUCGAGGGCUGCCUUCUCUCACAUUUGCCCUGCCAUUUGAUGUCCCAAAUCUUGAACAGGCCUGCCUGGCCUCACCUUGAUAGCACCUUCACCAUAGUAAGUAUUCAGUAUCUGGAUUGGCAGACCACCAGGCGGACCCAGUGAGAUUGACUGGUACCCAGUAGCAGCUCAAUCCAUACUCCAUGAAUGAAUGAAUGAAUGAAUGAGGAUUGAAGGAAGUAUGAAAUUCCAGCCAUGCUUCCCAGGGGAGGGUCUGCAGCCCUGACUCAGACAGAGACGGUAACAGGAGCAGUUUGAACCACCCAUCACCACUCCAGCCUGGAGGCUCUAUGGGAAGAGACCAGGAGCAAGGGAGAAAGAGUAGGCCCUUGCUCUGGACAGAUCCUCUAGUGCUGCUGCUGUAGGGCCAGAGUAAGGACCCCUUGUGAGGAUGAGAAAGGAAGAAGUGUCUCCUCCACAACCCGGGCUAAGUCCAAGCAACCUCUGCAUUUCUUCAUUCAGAACCUUUGCUCAGCCUAGGAUGUGUUGAGGACAUAAUGAAGUGAUGAGUGCUCCCCUGACUCUCAGGGGUCCCAAAGGGGUCAUCUGUGGUUUGAUGAUCCUCCUGGCUAAAUGGUUCCUACAGCUGUUGCUUAGGUUCAGAAGAAAAGCGGCUUCCACAUACCCAUACCUCAUCUGCUAGAAUUAACAACAUUAAAAGAUAAGGCUAGUGAUGUCGCAGCCUCCGGACAGAUCAUCCCGGUCAGUCUACCUUAAAGAUGGAACUUCAUGGAAAUGAAGGGGUGGAGAGGAGUUGUAUGAAACCAGACAUCUUCUGAAUUCUGCAGAAAAUGCUACGGCCAGAUUCACCGUACAGAGUCUGAUAAAUGCCAGAGGUGAGAGGGGGGUUUGGAUGUGGUCACAGUCAGUCAUAGGGCUGCAAUAUAGCCCCUAUGUCUCUGGCUUUUUUAAAGGUUAAUUCACAAAACAAAAAGUCCAGAAGUGUGCCUGGUAAUGACAGGAGCUCAGUAAAUAGUUGUUGAUGGAGUGACCCAGCAUGUCUCUAGCUGCCCGUGUACUGGCUGUGUAGAGCCAUUUUCCUGGAGGCCGAGGCAGAUCUGAACCAUGACUUGAAUCCACGCAGGUGGUGAUGUACACAUGGCAGCCUUUCCAUUCCACUCAUCCAUAGCCUGUGUUGGCCAGAAGAGAAGCUCUGAAUAGUAACUUCUCUAUAUUUUUGCUGUUAAAAAUAACAAACUCUGGGCACUAGAUCAGGAGCUAUUUCUUUCCUUGUAGACAAGUAGGUCCUGCAUGGAGAAGCAAGUCUCUUCUGCCCAGAGGAUCCAUAGUCAAAUGCUUGCAGGGGAGAUUAUAUUCUAGAAGCUCUGAAAUAGUCAGAAAUGCCCCCAGCCUCUCUGAGGGAGGGAUUCAUUCCAACCCAAAAGGAUGUCUCUAUACAGGCUCGUGUGAGCACAGGGUAGCUAAAGGUGCCUUGGGCAGCAAGCACCUGCACACCUGGCAAGGGCUAUGGUGACAGGUGAGAUGGGUCUGAAGUGAGAGCAAAAGGAUGUGGCUUUAUGGAACCUCAGGCUGACUUCAGAGGCUGACACUCACCUCCUGCCCCUGCCAGCUGCUCAGCCUGGACCCCCAGGGCACCUCCCAAAAAGCUCACCAGUCAUUCUCCAGCGAUAGUAUUUGUCACACACUGGCAUUUCCUACACUCCUACUGACCACAUCUCCAGGGACUGCUGGGAGCCCACUGACCAAGCUCCCGAAGAUGUGAGUCAGCAAGCUGGCAUGCUUAAGAAAGGGGUGUUUGGCCCUGACUUGAGAGCUUCCCAGACCCAGCAUUCCUUCUCCCCUGCUGUACCAAAGCCCCCAGAUCACCAUUUCUUAGAAAGAUAAGAAGGGCAUUCCGUCCAGUCUUGGGCCUCUUUGAUGUUCCUGCCCCAUAGGUAGCCCCAGAGGGACAGCAUCACCAUUAUUCCUUUUGAGUGGCACUGGAUGAAAACAGAAGAAUCACUGAGAAGUUGUCAAACAUUUAGAUUCCUGGGCCCCACUCAAGACAUUCUCUGGGGUGGAGGGUCGGAAGUAGGAAGCAGCAAUCUGCAUUCAAAUACAUCCUCCAGGAGCUUUCAAGACCCUGCCAGGACCGGGAAUCACUAAACAUUAAAGAGUAUAACAACUUCAAAAGUGCAUUAAAAAUUUCCUUUUUUUUGGCUAAGACCUUUGGAAGGGGAAUUUGACUCAGAGAUAAUUUUGCUUCCUGAUAACUGCAGAAGUAGCUCUCUCUUUCCUUAAAACAGGGAGAUCCUCUGGGAUCUCUGUAUAUCUGAGACCAGCAAGAAUCUGAGACUGUCUCCAACUCAGUGUAGGCUGCAACUCGCCUUCCUAGGCAUUCCAGACUCCCACAGACGAUGCAGCUCCCAGCACGUUCCUGACUGCCAGAGACAAGUGAGGCUGUGAGUUUCUGCCCAGGGCUUACCAGAUCCUGAAAACUUCUAGAAGGGAUUUUCCUGGGCUAUCAAGCACUGACACCUAGAAAGAGGUAAAACUUGAUGUAUCUUGCAGGGCCAAUCCCGAGAAACCGCUAAACUCCCCAUAUUACAUGAAGGGCAGAGAGGUGUCUUAAAAAAAAAAAUCAGAGUGAAGCCAGAACACAUGCUGCCAACAAGACUGAAUUAGGUAAUGAGAAAGACAAUGUUUGUUGCCAGGACUGAGGCAGGAAAUAAAUCAUUUUU